rnacentral:sRNA from 23 species
GUCAACCACCCGACGCCGACCCUAACGGGUACGGCGCGGACUUGAAAAAGCCCGAGAGUUGACCAGGCUAAGUCCUUUACGGACUCCGUUAUCGAGCUGGACUUACGCAAUUCAACGUUACCCACGCUAAA